rnacentral:rRNA from 1 species
CUUCGGAAAUGAGAGAGCGGCGUACGGGUGCGGAACACGUGUGCAACCUGCCUUUAUCUGGGGGAUAGCCUUUCGAAAGGAAGAUUAAUACUCCAUAAUAUAUUGAUUGGCAUCAAUUAAUAUUGAAAGCUCCGGCGGAUAGAGAUGGGCACGCGCAAGAUUAGCUAGUUGGUGAGGUAACGGCUCACCAAGGCAAUGAUCUUUAGGGGGCCUGAGAGGGUGAUCCCCCACACUGGUACUGAGACACGGACCAGACUCCUACGGGAGGCAGCAGUGAGGAAUAUUGGUCAAUGGGUGCAAGCCUGAACCAGCCAUCCCGCGUGAAGGACGACUGCCCUAUGGGUUGUAAACUUCUUUUGUAUAGGGAUAAACCUACCCUCGUGAGGGUAGCUGAAGGUACUAUACGAAUAAGCACCGGCUAACUCCGUGCCAGCAGCCGCGGUAAUACGGAGGGUGCAAGCGUUAUCCGGAUUUAUUGGGUUUAAAGGGUCCGUAGGCGGACUUAUAAGUCAGUGGUGAAAGCCUGUCGCUUAACGAUAGAACUGCCAUUGAUACUGUAAGUCUUGAGUA